UUCAGCUUCUUUACAGUGCUGCCUUGUUGCAUUCAUGUCAAGCAGCAUUGUACAGGGCUAUGAA
ensembl:miRNA